UCUAGCCGUGGUAAAAAUUGGUGUGCCGUCUUCUCAUCUUCUCCAGAAGGAACGCGAGAUUUGGGGAAGCGGCGGUCGCCGUCACCCGUCUCGCUCGCCCUCCCACCGGCCGUUUCCAGCGCAGACCUCCCGCUGGCUGUCUCGCUCAGCUCACCUCCGGCGAGAAAGAAGGCAGAAGAGCGGGGAAGGUAAUCGUCAGCAAGGACGCCGUGGACGGCUUCGUCGAGAGCGCCCGCAUCUUCAUCCAAUACUUAUCUGCAACGGGCGCGAAGGAGGAGUGCGCUGUACGGCUAUAGCAUUUGAACUAGCAGCACAAAGGCAGGCUAGACCAAGCCGUCAUCGAUGUCCUCUACUUGUAGGUCGUGUACAAUACUAUGGAAGGUUAAUCCCUCUGCAAUUUCAGAACUAUAAUGCAUUCGUUUUAGAUAUACAUAUGUGUAUUAUGCAUCGUUGUAAUUUUACCAUUUACUUUCUUUUUUUCACAUAUGUAGUUCAGUCUACAAGUUCUAAAGCUUCA